CCUACGGGAGGCAGCAGUGAGGAAUAUUGGUCAAUGGACGCAAGUCUGAACCAGCCACGCCGCGUGCAGGAUGACGGCUCUAUGAGUUGUAAACUGCUGUUGUACGAGGGAAAAACACGAUACGAGUAACGGGAUGAAAGUAGCGUACGAAUAAGGAGCGGCUACCUCCGUGCCAGCAGCCGCGGGAAUACGGAGGAUCCGAGCGUUAUCCGGAUUUAUUGGGUUGAACGGGUGCGUAGGCGGUUUGCUAAGUUCGAGGUGAAAUGUCGGGGCUCAACCCCGAAACUGCCUCUCAUACUGUUGUCCUUGAGUAUUGUUGCGGUAGGCGGAAUGUCUGGUGUAGCGGU
rnacentral:rRNA from 1 species